rnacentral:rRNA from 1 species
AGUGAACGCUGGCGGCGUGCCUAAUACAUGCAAGUCGAACGGACAAGUAAGAGCUUGCUCUUAUGAGUUAGUGGCGCACGGGUGAGUAAUGUAUAGCUAAUCUGCCCUACACUAGAGGACAACAGUUGGAAACGACUGCUAAUACUCUAUACUCCUCUCUAGCAUAAGUUAGAUAGGGAAAGUUUUUCGGUGUAGGAUGAGGCUAUAUUGUAUCAGCUAGUUGGUGAGGUAAUGGCUCACCAAGGCUAUGACGCAUAACUGGUCUGAGAGGAUGAUCAGUCACACUGGAACUGAGACACGGUCCAGACUCCUACGGGAGGCAGCAGUAGGGAAUAUUGCUCAAUGGGGGAAACCCUGAAGCAGCAACGCCGCGUGGAGGAUGACACUUUUCGGAGCGUAAACUCCUUUUGUUAGGGAAGAACAAUGACG